UACAGGGGGUGCAAGCGUUAUUCGGAAUUAUUGGGCGUAAAGAGCGUGUAGGUGGUUUAUUAAGUUUGGUGUGAAAGCCCUGGGCUCAAUCCAGGAAGUGCAUUGAAUACUGGUAGACUAGAGUAGAGGAGAGGAUGGCGGAAUUCCAGGUGUAGAGGUGAAAUUCGUAGAUAUUCGGAAGAACACCAGUGGCGAAGGCGGCUCACUGGCCCGGUACUGACGCUGAGGUGCGAAAGCAUGGGGAGCAAACAGG
rnacentral:rRNA from 1 species